AAAAUGUUUCUGGGAGUUGUAUUUCAGUUAAUAGCUUUCAUAUCUUAAAGUGUCAUAAUUGAACUACAAGUUCCAGAAACCCAGGCUACUGACUAUGUUCUCUAUAUCAUGGCACAAGGAACAAAAAUGUUUUUUUUUUGUUUUUUUGUUGUUGUUGUUGUGGGGAUAGGGCUUCCUCAAAAUAACUACCCACUGGCAUAAACACCCUUUAGGCAAGUAUGCACAAUAAAUGUAAACUCACUCUUGUUAGAAGCCAAUAGUUUCCAGUUAGAUUUAUGAAGAUAAAUGUUAUACAAUAAUACAUUGUAGAAAUCAG